rnacentral:rRNA from 1 species
GAUGAACGCUGGCGGCGUGCCUAAUACAUGCAAGUCGAGCGAACGGACGAGAAGCUUGCUUCUCUGAUGUUAGCGGCGGACGGGUGAGUAACACGUGGAUAACCUACCUAUAAGACUGGGAUAACUUCGGAAAACCGGAGAUAAUACCGGAUAAUAUUUUGAACCGCAUGGUUCAAAAGUGAAAGACGGUCUUGCUGUCACUUAUAGAUGGAUCCGCGCUGCAUUAGCUAGUUGGUAAGGUAACGGCUUACCAAGGCAACGAUGCAUAGCCGACCUGAGAGGGUGAUCGGCCACACUGGAACUGAGACACGGUCCAGACUCCUACGGGAGGCAGCAGUAGGGAAUCUUCCGCAAUGGGCGAAAGCCUGACGGAGCAACGCCGCGUGAGUGAUGAAGGUCUUCGGAUCGUAAAACUCUGUUAGUAGGGAAGAACAUAUGUGUAAGUAACUGUGCACAUCUUGACGGUACCUAAUCAGAAAGCCACGGCUAACUACGUG